UGUCGUCAGCUCGUGCCGUGAGGUGUUGGGUUAAGUCCCGCAACGAGCGCAACCCUUGUUCACUGUUGCCAGCACGUUAUGGUGGGGACUCAGUGGAGACCGCCGGGGUCAACUCGGAGGAAGGUGGGGAUGACGUCAAGUCAUCAUGCCCCUUAUGUCCAGGGCUUCACGCAUGCUACAAUGGCUGGUACAGAGAGUGGCGAGCCUGUGAGGGUGAGCGAAUCUCGGAAAGCCGGUCUCAGUUCGGAUUGGGGUCUGCAACUCGACCCCAUGAAGUCGGAGUCGCUAGUAAUCGCAGAUCAGCAACGCUGCGGUGAAUACGUUCCCGGGGCUUGUACACACCGCCCGUCAAGUCAUGAAAGUUGGUAACACCCGAAGCCGGUGGCCUAACCGUUGUG
rnacentral:rRNA from 1 species